AUGAACAAUAACAGUUGCAGGGUCUGGAAUUAUCUUCAAGUGUGCUGGCCGCAUGGUGAUAAUAUGACUGUCAUUGCAUAUGCUGCUAGAAGGGACUUUCAAAAACCAUUCUUUGCAGAAGUGGUCUUCUUGGCUUGCUGGAACAUUUGGGCUGUGAGAAAUGACAGAGUCUUCAGGAACAUAAAGCCUUCCUUUAGAAGGUGGAGAGCAUGCUUCAUUCAUGACAUCUCUCUCCUAGCUCAUAGGAUUAAAGCUAAAUAUAAGGAUAAUCUUCUUAGAUGGAUUUCUUUCUUGCCACCUUGA
rnacentral:rRNA from 1 species